GGGGAUCCCUGGGGGAAAGAGACGAGCAUAGGUUCCUCCCAAGAUGCCACCCGCUUCAUUCAAGUGUCUGGCAGCACUGUGUUCCUGUUAGAGCCACCAGCACAAGCACCAGACGAUGCUGAUCCAGGUGAAGGCCCCAGUGCAGCAGCAACAGCACAUGCUGGAGACGAUGAUGAGGAGGAGCAUCUCUCUGGAUUCCAGAAGGCAUGAG